GUCUUUGUAGUAUAGCAAUUACCUUGGUCUUGGUAAGCCA
rnacentral:tRNA from 1 species